UGGUGAGCUGCGCCUCGUCGCCUCUGCCCCGGCGAGCCGCGUCUCGUCGCCUCUGCGGUGGGCCGGCAUUCACGGCAUCCAGGAGGGCAGCCACCUGAACUGGCUAUCGGUGGCCUUCCUCGUGUACUCGGCGCUGUUCUCGCUGUCGUACCUCUGGUACCCGAACCCGAUUUUCCACCAGGUCAACUACGGAGUG